UACGUAGGGGGCAAGCGUUGUCCGGAUUUACUGGGCGUAAAGAGCGUGUAGGCGGCCAAGCAGGUCCGUUGUGAAAACUGGAGGCUUAACCUCCAGACGUCGACGGAAACCGCGUGGCUAGAGUCCGGAAGAGGAGAGUGGAAUUCCUGGUGGUAGCGGUGAAAUGCGCAGAUAUCAGGAAGAACACCCGUGGCUAAGGCGGCUCUCUAGUACGGUACUGACGCUGAGACGCGAAAGCGUGGGGAGCGAACAGG
rnacentral:rRNA from 1 species